rnacentral:siRNA from 1 species
GAGGGUCUUCUAAGUGUAG